UACGUAGGGGGCAAGCGUUGUCCGGAUUUAUUGGGCGUAAAGAGCGUGUAGGCGGUUUGGUAGGUCCGUUGUGAAAACUCGAGGCUCAACCUCGAGACGCCGAUGGAAACCAUCAGACUAGAGUCCGGAAGAGGAGAGUGGAAUUCCUGGUGUAGCGGUGAAAUUCGUAGAUAUUGGGAAGAACACCGGUGGCGAAGGCGGCUCACUGGCUCAUUACUGACGCUCAUGCGCGACAGCGUGGGGAUCAAACAGG
rnacentral:rRNA from 1 species